ACUCCCUGGCCAUGGGCAAAGAGGCACCUGAUUGGUGGUGUUGCUCUUAUAUCAGUCAGGGGCAAAGCAGAUGUCUAGUCCUUUGUUCAUCCUAGCUUGAUGCCUGGAUUGGUGG
rnacentral:snoRNA from 1 species